AAAAGACCAAAACUGAACCCUUCCGGAUUACCAUGCUUAGACACCACGCCUCCAUGUGUCAUAUUCAAGCGCAAAUGGCUGGAAGCAGAUAGAUAUAUCCUGGCAAUUCAUUCUGUGAAUUACUAAUCUAAAUUUUACCUAAUGCUCCUAUUUGUAUACAAAGAGGAUUCGUUCCUCUUUUUUAUAUGGGUAGGAACAUAGUAACUUUUGGUUCGCUCUGGGAUGACAUCC
rnacentral:snoRNA from 1 species